GUGCUCGCUUCGCCGGCAGGUAUUCUAACAUUGGAACGAUAAUGGAGAUUAACACAGCCCCAGUGCAAGGAUGAUAUGCAAAUUUGUGAUGUGUUACGCAUUACA